UACAGAGGUCCCAAGCGUUGUUCGGAUUCACUGGGCGUAAAGGGUGCGUAGGUGGUUGGGUAAGUCUGAUGUGAAAUCUCCGAGCCUAACUCGGAAACUGCAUCGGAUACUAUUCGGCUAGAGGGUUGGAGGGGGGACUGGAAUUCUCGGUGUAGCAGUGAAAUGCGUAGAUAUCGAGAGGAACACCAGUGGCGAAGGCGAGUCCCUGGACAACUCCUGACACUGAGGCACGAAAGCUAGGGGAGCAAACAGG
rnacentral:rRNA from 1 species